rnacentral:rRNA from 1 species
UAGGGAAUCUUCGGCAAUGGGGGGAACCCUGACCGAGCAACGCCGCGCGAGUGAAGAAGGUUUUCGGAUCGUAAAGCUCUGUUGUUAAGGAAGAACGAGUGUGAGAAUGGAAAGCUCAUGCUGUGACGGUACUUAACCAGAAAGGGACGGCUAACUACGUGCCAGCAGCCGCGGUAAUACGUAGGUACCGAGCGUUGUCCGGACUUAUUGGGCGUAGAGCGAGCGCAGGCGGUUAGAAAAGUCUGAAGUGAAAGGCAUUAGCUCAACCAUUGUAGGCUUUGGAAACUGUUUACCUUGCGUGCAGAAGGGGAGAGAGGAAUUCCAUGUGUAGCGGUGAAAUGCGUAGAUAUAUGGAGGAACACCGGUGGCGAAAGCGGCUCUCUGGUCUGUAACUGACGCUGAGGCUCGAAAGCGUGGGGAGCGAACAGG